UACGAAGGGGGCUAGCGUUGCUCGGAAUCACUGGGCGUAAAGGGUGCGUAGGCGGGUCUUUAAGUCAGGGGUGAAAUCCUGGAGCUCAACUCCAGAACUGCCUUUGAUACUGAAGAUCUUGAGUUCGGGAGAGGUGAGUGGAACUGCGAGUGUAGAGGUGAAAUUCGUAGAUAUUCGCAAGAACACCAGUGGCGAAGGCGGCUCGCUGGCUCGAUACUGACGCUGAGGUGCGAAAGCGUGGGGAGCAAACAGG
rnacentral:rRNA from 1 species